CUUAGGGAAUUAAGUAACUUGCAUUAGGUUAUAUAGCUUAUUUAAAAAAAAACUCUUUGCCACACCUCGAACUCAGAUCUUCUGAAUUUGAAGCCCAGAUUUAUUUCUCUACAUGGAAACGAGAGUCAGGACAAACAAGAGGGGACAUCACAAGGGAGUACAGUUGAAUAAACACUAGCUGUAAGAAGACAGCGUUUAGGUUUAUCCUGUAAGGCAGUGCAUCAGAAAGUGCUCAUCGUCACGCGCUCACAAUAUUUAGCAAGCUAUUCUUGGGGUUCUCAAACCCCAAGGCCAGUUACAGGUCAUGGAUACACUUUCCCAAGUCAAACAGGCUAGAGUUGGUGGAAGUGAAAAACACCUACUAUCUCUGGCCCAACACAAGGUUUAUUUCUUGCUCGUGUGCAAUCCGGUAUGAAUCUGGCUAACGACCGUUAGCUCAACAUCAGGGACUUGGGAAUGCACGCUGCUUUGACUUCAUGGCUCCACCUUUUCAGCAAGGAAUCUUUUCUAUGCUUCACCCUGAAAGGACACAAGGACACGUUACCAGAACGUCCUAUUAGCCAGAAGCCCGGCAGACAGCCCCACCUAGUGGCCGGGAAACGUAGGGGCGAAAGAACUUUAGGGUGGGAUGGGGUGGCGCGGGGUGGGUUUCUUCCCGCCACACAAUGCUUCAGCGGAUGGAAAGGCACACCGUGUUAAGGAAGUCUCUCAGGAUUUGGUUGAGCCAGAAACUGCCUUAAUCACAUUAGAGUUCGCUUCACUGAGGUAACAAUGGCUUCAGGGUGGUGACUGGAAUAUGUGAGAGUCCACGUGCUGAGUCCCCGGGGAGGAACAAAUUCCAGGCAGAGAGGAAUUUCUACCAAACUGCUUCAGCUUCACGAUGAAGGGAAGGUUCUGAUGCUGUGGAGGAAGAGGAAAUGGGUACCAGGACAGUAAACUGAGGAGAAGAGGAUGGGGAAAGAAUAGCCAGUUUUCUCAAUGACCUCUCUGCCACUUUCUUCUUCAGCCUCUCCUUUAAUAUUUUUUUCAUUUUCAGCCAAUAAAUAUUUAUCACUAUAUGACAUAUAGAAAAUGUUGCAUUAGCAAAUGGAGAAGACAUGAUAGUAAAUGAGACCCAGCCGCUUCAACAGAGUUUCUGAUAUUCCCCAAAAGGGUGUGGUGACAAGCGUCACCUGACAGAC
rnacentral:lncRNA from 1 species